rnacentral:rRNA from 1 species
UACGUAGGUGGCAAGCGUUGUUCGGAAUUAUUGGGCGUAAAGGGCGCGUAGGCGGUUUGUUAAGUCAGCUGUGAAAGCCCGGGGCUCAACCCCGGAGGGUCAGCUGAUACUGGCAGGCUAGAGUACAGAAGAGGUAACUGGAAUUCCCGGUGUAGCGGUGGAAUGCGCAGAUAUCAGGAGGAACACCGAUGGCGAAGGCAGGUCACUGGGCCGCAACUGACGCUGAGGAGCGAAAGCAUGGGGAGCGAACAGG